rnacentral:rRNA from 1 species
UAAUAACUCCAUUAAAUUUAUUAAUCUCUUUUGUGGUGGCACAAAAUCGGAAGCCCCGACUGUUUACUAAAAACACAGCUAUCUGCAACGAUGUAAAUCUUAGUAUAGGUAGUGAGGUUUGCCCGAUGCCAUUAAUAUAAGAGAAGUGAUGGGUAACUGUUAAUUAUCGAAAAUCUGGUUAAUAGCGGUCUUAACUAUGAGGAUCCUAAGGUAGCAAAAUAAAUUGGCCAUUAAAUGUGGUCCGGUAUCAAUAAUUUAACGAUGGCUUCACUGUCUCUACAACUUGCUCAGUGAAAUUGAAUUACCCGUGCAGAUGCGGGUUG